rnacentral:rRNA from 1 species
UUUACGGGAGGCAGCAGUGAGGAAUAUUGGACAAUGGGGGCAACCCUGAUCCAGCAAUACCGCGUGUGUGAAGAAGGCCUGAGGGUUGUAAAGCACUUUCAAUUGUGAAGAAAAGCUAGCGGUUAAUAGCCGUUAGCCUUGACGUUAACUUUAGAAGAAGCACCGGCUAACUCCGUGCCAGCAGCCGCGGUAAU